AUCGAACGCUGGCGGCAGGCCUAACACAUGCAAGUCGAACGAGUGGCGGACGGGUGAGUAAUGUCUGGGAAACUGCCUGAUGGAGGGGGAUAACUACUGGAAACGGUAGCUAAUACCGCAUACCAUCAGAUGUGCCCAGAUGGGAUUAGCUUGUUGGUGUGGGAACGGCUCACCCAUGCGACGAUCGCUAGCUGGUCUGAGAGGAUGACAAGGCACACGGGAACGGAGACACGGGCCAAAGUCCUAAGGGAGGCAGCAGUUGGGAAUAUUGCGCAAUGGGCGAAAGCCUGAUGGAGCCAUGCCGCGUGUAUGAAGAAGGCCUGCGGGUUUUAAAGUACUUUCAGCGGGGAGGCGUUACCCGCAGAAGAAGCACCGGCUAACUCCGUGCCAGCAGCCGCGGUAAUAC
rnacentral:rRNA from 1 species